rnacentral:lncRNA from 1 species
AAACAAUAUUAUUAAUACUCAAAUUAUCUCAAUUAUCAAAAUUAUCAAUGUCUGUCAUUUUAUGAGUAGUUUUCAGCUUUCGCCUUAAAUAUCGGAGUCGAACAGUUAUUCGUCAGUGUAGUCUCGUCGGUGUGAUCCAGAUAGGAGUGCUUCCAAAGCCAACCAGGCUCAGCUACUCAGGAGAAACGCUAACUCAAAAGACAGCUCAACACAACUGUAACUAUUCAAGCCAGACAACAUCAACUUUGGAAUAUUACGAACAUUUUGGACUUUAACUUUAAACUGUGAAUUGGAUUAGUGAAAUUAGUGACUUUAUUAUUUGGAACAUUUGAACUUUAUUUAUUUGUAAAUUGUUUCGGCAUCAUUAUUAUUAUUUGGACCUGUUACUAUAUAAAACUGUUACAACUUGCUGCUUGCUUUAUAGUUUUGCCUGCCAUUGCUUAAGUCUUGCGAAAGACUGACCCUCUGUGCCUUGGGCUGUGCAUGUUCGAUAGUCCCCCUUAAACUCGACGUGC